AUAAGAUACGGCGAUACAUAUUCUAAAAUUGGAACGAUGCAGAGAAGAUUAGCAUAGCCCCUGCGCAAAGAUGACACAAAUUCGAGAAGUGUUCCAUGUUUUU